UGUAUCAUCUAGGUAGCGAUGUUUACUAAAUCCAGUGCACGGCGAGCAGCAGCGAAUGACGCAUCCCGAGAAGCCGCCACCGAGAACUCUAUCUUGUAACCCUCUCGAAGCUUUACCUCGAGACUAACUCGAUUUUUCUUCUUGUUCCACGAUUUGGAUCUUUCUCUGAUCUAGAAUUUCCGUUUCUGAAACAAAUUAUACAUUCCUAACAACAAUUUCCGCCGCGUUCCGGGGCCAUAGUGAUGCGAAUUGGAGGCCUGAAGUUUAAGGGAGGUGAAGAGAGAAAUUAGACGAGAUUGGGAUCAGCGGGGUGCAAAAUCGGACCCUAGGCAAUGUGCGCGAGGUUUCCUAUUCUCGCAUUAUUGAUGUAUGUUUCCUUCUCGUUGGAUGGUGUGUAUCCGCAUCGUGUAAUUCUAGAGAGGAAGGCGGCGCAGAACUUAGACCAUGUACAUCUAAGUGCUAUGGGAAUUUGUCGAUGCAUCUUUUCGACAUGGAUUGCGUAAUGCGGUGUGAACAAUUAAGGAUGAGGAGAUUUCAAAUGAGGGAUCUGCGUUUGGAAUCUUGCCAGCAGAUGUGGUAGGAAGUGCCCGAUCUCCAAAACUAUUUUGGCUAAUCUCCUGUGGCAUUUUCGGUAAAUAGGUCUUUCUGCUCUUCGUACUAUCCCCUGAAUCGAAGUUCAUUAGGUUUGUCUUAGGUGACAUUUCUGUAAUCCUUCUGAAAAUUCCUUUCUUAACUUCAUUGAAAGAUUUUGGAGGUCUUUAUACUUGGAGGAGGUGAAGGUGAGAGGAUACAAGUUUUAAAACUUUCGAUUGGCUGAAAUCUAGAGGCCUCUCAAUUUCUGCCUAUCAAAUGAUUCAAACUUGCGGCCUCUCACCUUGUCCGGCUACCGCAAGUAAAGGUGAAGACUUUCUCGAAGCACCAGUAUCUCGCAGCAAACAUCCUGCAGAACAGGCAACUCUCAUCAUUCUUACUGCUGGCAGAAAGGUGCACUGGUUUUUGAAUGUUCUUCACAUUUCUAGUUUUUUUUAGUGUUUGAAAUGAAACAAAAAUAGAGUUUCUUUACACACUAAAUCUUUCUACCUCCACUUACUACAUUAAAGUGGCGGGUAGGGACAAGGGGACAAAAGACUAUAUUUCCCAAAUGAAAAUCUACAUGCACAUUCAUAUGCAAGUCUCUAAGUUGGAUGAAGUCUUGCAGAAUCAAUGAUGAAAGGACCAUCAAUGAUUGUUGGAAAAUAUCCAACAGCACUUUUUUUUUCUUUUCUUUUCAUAAAAUCAAUAAAACCAGUUAUACAAGUGG